rnacentral:lncRNA from 1 species
CUCAAAUCCCGUUCACAUGCUGAGGUUUCCAGCGAAGUUUAGAGGGUGCGCCCAUUCCAAACUAGGCUCACUCUGGUCCUGAUGCUGAGCCAUUGGUACCUACCUAUUUGAUAUUCACAUCGCGGUUUCCAUGCGCUGCUUUCAAACCGUUCUUCACAUCUGGCUUAGUUUGCGCAUGUCAAUGGAGUUUUACUGGAUGCGACCAGAGGGGGAGCUGUUGAUCAGGAUAUAGGGAGCCACUGUCUGGCAGGGGGACUGAUGCAGGCAGUUGAACUUCUAUCAGUUUCUAAACCAUACAGUCUUUGGUUCCAUUCUCGUAUGGAUGUGAGUAUUCCAGUCUAAGGUUCUUCAAGAUGCUGUACCUUACCUACCAGGCCUGUGAAAGAAUCCAGCUCUCCACCCCUUGAGACCUCUGUGAAACAAAAGUAGGCCUAGAGGAGGACGGCACUAUCACUGGAGAUAGAGGGAUAACACUAUCCCCAGCCAGGCAGACGAGUGCACAUUACAAGACGAGUGCAGAGGGAUCUGUCACGCCUUCAGCCAGCAUGCAUAAAUACUGUGGAUUUGUUGAGAACACUCAUGAGUCCAACAAAGAUGAAGAGGUAGAAGAAGACGAUGGAGGAAGAAGAAGGAGAAAUGGGAACUAUAGCUCCAGGAGGUGGGACAGUGGUGGACGGAGCGGGCCAGGUUACAGGAUCCAACCCUGGGGACCUCCAUGGAGGAAGGAGUGUGGCUCAUCAAGAAGAGGAGGAAGCAACGUCAUAAACAGAAGCUCUUGUCUCUGGGUCUGGUGCCGCGUGCUGCGGCUCGAGGGGGGGAGGAAGAGAAGAGCAGCUGAAGUGAUAAUCUUCCUCAGGACCACACAAGAUCUAUGUGUCUGAUUGUGAGUGUGACAUACCAGGGCUGCUAAUCAACCCAGAUACGGUCACAUAUAGCCUAGGCUGUGCUUCAGUCUUCCUAAGAGCUGGCCAAAAGUGCUGAAGCAUAGUUCAUUUUAUCACUUUCGGGAUUGGCAGAAAAUAAAUAAUUUGAACAGCACUGUGCAGAGCACACGCACAUUGAAAGUGAAAGCACAGCUCAUUAAUAACUAGCCUAUAACAACUUGAGGACCUUGAGAGAUUUAAGAAUCGAGGUGUAGAGGUGCAUUGAGGUGUUUGGGUUUACUUCAUCAUUCUCAAAUGUAAUGGACAGGCUCAGUCAUCUGGUCUGUCAUAAUCCCUCCAUGACUUGCCUCUGGAGGGCUAGACAGACCGACAGUCAGUCAGUCCAAAGAAUCCCAUUGGUUCCAGGGAUUAAGGUUUCUCUGUUGGUGAAUUACUGUGGAAGGCUAAGAAGGAAGACCUCUGGAAAUGUCCACAGUAGUUCAGUUAAAGGGGCCAGAUGCUCCUGUUCCUUAAAAGGCACCUCAGUCUAGAGAAAGACCAGGUGAUUAGACACAGGCCCAUUCAGCAACGGAGUUUAUAAUGGUUGGUGGAGUAAUAGUAUACUCACUCCACUACCAAGCAGGUUAAUCUGGUAGUGGAGGG